rnacentral:rRNA from 1 species
GAUGAACGCUAGCGGCAGGCUUAACACAUGCAAGUCGAGGGGUAGAGGUUGCUUGCAACCUUGAGACCGGCGCACGGGUGCGCAACGCGUAUGCAACCUACCUUUUACAGAGGGAUAGCCCAGAGAAAUUUGGAUUAAUACCUCAUAGUAUAUAACCUUCGCAUGUUGGUUAUAUUAAAGUUCCAACGGUAAAAGAUGGGCAUGCGUCCUAUUAGCUAGAUGGUAAGGUAACGGCUUACCAUGGCAACGAUAGGUAGGGGUCCUGAGAGGGAGAUCCCCCCAACUGGUACUGAGACACGGACCAGACUCCUACGGGAGGCAGCAGUGAGGAAUAUUGGACAAUGGGCGCAAGCCUGAUCCAGCCAUGCCGCGUGCAGGAAGAAGCAUCUAUGGUGUGUAAACUGCUUUUGUACAGGAAGAAACACCCCGACGUGUCGGGACUUGACGGUACUGUAAGAAUAAGGAUCGGCUAACUCCGUGCCAGCAGCCGCCGUAAGAC